rnacentral:rRNA from 1 species
AGUGAACGCUGGCGGCAGGCCUAAUACAUGCAAGUCGAACGGCAGCACAGUGGAGCUUGCUCCAUGGGUGGCGAGUGGCGGACGGGUGAGGAAUACAUGGGAAUCUGCCCAGUCGUGGGGGAUAACGUAGGGAAACUUACGCUAAUACCGCAUGCGCCCUUCGGGGGAAAGCCGGGGACCGUAAGGCCUGGCGCGAUUGGAUGAGCCCAUGUCGGAUUAGCUAGUUGGCGGGGUAACGGCCCACCAAGGCGACGAUCCGUAGCUGGUCUGAGAGGAUGAUCAGCCACACUGGAACUGAGACACGGUCCAGACUCCUACGGGAGGCAGCAGUAGGGAAUAUUGGACAAUGGGCGCAAAGCCUGAUCCAGCCAUGCCGCGUGAGUGAAGAAGGCCUCGGGUUGUAAAGCUCUUUUGUCCGGAAAGAAAAGCACUGGGUUAAUACCCCGGUGUCCUGACGGUACCGGAAGAAUAAGCACCGGCUAACUUCGUGCCAGCAGCCGCGGUAA